CUAAUGCGCCUUGAAAUGAGGAACACAAAAGUCACGUGUAAACAAAAAAUCUCUGUGUAGUGAUAUUUGACACAUUUCUAUGAUAAACAAAUAACUGAGCUGAACCAUUAGUGUUAAUUUAGAAAAUAAGGGAACACAGAAUAAAUGUGUAAAAACCAUGGAGCUAUGAAAUGUGUUCAAAGUAUUAAAAUUUCAAAGAACUUAUUGUGUUAAAAUUGGGAUUUUUUACCAUGAGGAGCGACAUCGCAAAAGGAUACUCGGGGUUUGCUAAAUUACGGAAAAAUGAAUCACACUUCGUACCCCGAAAAUUUAACCACAUAUGUAAACAUGUCGCAGCUUCGAAACAAGCCAUCAUACAUAUACAAGUUUACGAUAUGGGCUGAGCAACAGAAGAAAACGUUACCAUUACGGCCUAUGGAAUAACAAUUGCGCAUAUUGCCCCAUCUUGUGAGCUAGGAUCCAGAGAUAUGUUAAGCUAAUUUCACCUUGUACACCACAGAAAAUUGUUAAAAUGAUGGUUAGUAGUUUUUUAUUUAUACCUAGUUAUCAUAAAUGAUUUCAGAUAAAUAUUAUUGAUAAAGAACAGCAAAAAUUCAAUAAAAUUUUCACUUUUAAAUGCAUUACUGGCACGGGGCUGAACACUUUUUUUUAGGCACAGUCAUAACUUUGUUUACCCCCGAGAGAUCCGAAAUGAAUUGUUUAUUCAAUUGAAAAAGGCAAGAAAAAACUUACAUGUAAUAUAAAUAAAUUUUCCAGACAUAUCAUUACUUUUAAAUAUGAGAUGACAAACUAAAGGUUUUAAAAAGUCCUGAAUAACUGAAAUGGACAAAAAUACACAGAUUUAUUCAGAAUGUCAUACCGAUGAAGAUCACCUAAAAAUAUUUGGAAAAAUCAGAACUAUGGAUUUCAAUAUGGGACAAUACCCCUAAUGCGCCUUGAAAUGAGGAACACAAAAGUCACGUGUAAACAAAAAAUCUCUGUGUAGUGAUAUUUGACACAUUUCUAUGAUAAACAAAUAACUGAGCUGAACCAUUAGUGUUAAUUUAGAAAAUAAGGGAACACAGAAUAAAUGUGUAAAAACCAUGGAGCUAUGAAAUGUGUUCAAAGUAUUAAAAUUUCAAAGAACUUAUUGUGUUAAAAUUGGGAUUUUUUACCAUGAGGAGCGACAUCGCAAAAGGAUACUCGGGGUUUGCUAAAUUACGGAAAAAUGAAUCACACUUCGUACCCCGAAAAUUUAACCACAUAUGUAAACAUGUCGCAGCUUCGAAACAAGCCAUCAUACAUAUACAAGUUUACGAUAUGGGCUGAGCAACAGAAGAAAACGUUACCAUUACGGCCUAUGGAAUAACAAUUGCGCAUAUUGCCCCAUCUUGUGAGCUAGGAUCCAGAGAUAUGUUAAGCUAAUUUCACCUUGUACACCACAGAAAAUUGUUAAAAUGAUGGUUAGUAGUUUUUUAUUUAUACCUAGUUAUCAUAAAUGAUUUCAGAUAAAUAUUAUUGAUAAAGAACAGCAAAAAUUCAAUAAAAUUUUCACUUUUAAAUGCAUUACUGGCACGGGGCUGAACACUUUUUUUUAGGCACAGUCAUAACUUUGUUUACCCCCGAGAGAUCCGAAAUGAAUUGUUUAUUCAAUUGAAAAAGGCAAGAAAAAACUUACAUGUAAUAUAAAUAAAUUGUAAGUAAACAUGACACAAUAUAGUCUUUGUUAUGCAAUUAUCACUCUGGUCUACAGGAAUAGCUUAUAAUCAAGGGAGAUAACACACUUCACACGAGUAAAGUGAGAUACAUCAUACAUGUGCUUUUAUCCAAUGAUUUGACCCUGGUCAGUAGAUAUCAUAUGCAAAUAAACAGAAAAAAAACCAUGUACAUGUAUUAAGAAAAUCACGAAUUACUAUUGUUAAUGCACACGAGCAAAACACAAGAUAUUGUCAUUUCUCAGUGAAAAAGGGGGAGGGUCAAACCUUCUUGAACACAAUAUUGCUAUUCAACUACAUGUAUUAAGCUAGUUAGCUACUACUCAUUGCUUCUAAUAUAAACAGUUUAAAUGAAGGUGGCUAAGCCACAAGGGAGAAGCAUUUUUCUUUCUUUGUGAUAACAUUUUCAAGAAUUAGAUUUUUCUCUCUCAAUAAUACUUAUGUAUUUAAAUUAAAUGAUAACACAGUUUGAGUUAAAUUUUUUUGUCUUAUUUCAGUUCCAGACAUAUCAUUACUUUUAAAUAUGAGAUGACAAACUAAAGGUUUUAAAAAGUCCUGAAUAACUGAAAUGGACAAAAAUACACAGAUUUAUUCAGAAUGUCAUACCGAUGAAGAUCACCUAAAAAUAUUUGGAAAAAUCAGAACUAUGGAUUUCAAUAUGGGACAAUACCCCUAAUGCGCCUUGAAAUGAGGAACACAAAAGUCACGUGUAAACAAAAAAUCUCUGUGUAGUGAUAUUUGACACAUUUCUAUGAUAAACAAAUAACUGAGCUGAACCAUUAGUGUUAAUUUAGAAAAUAAGGGAACACAGAAUAAAUGUGUAAAAACCAUGGAGCUAUGAAAUGUGUUCAAAGUAUUAAAAUUUCAAAGAACUUAUUGUGUUAAAAUUGGGAUUUUUUACCAUGAGGAGCGACAUCGCAAAAGGAUACUCGGGGUUUGCUAAAUUACGGAAAAAUGAAUCACACUUCGUACCCCGAAAAUUUAACCACAUAUGUAAACAUGUCGCAGCUUCGAAACAAGCCAUCAUACAUAUACAAGUUUACGAUAUGGGCUGAGCAACAGAAGAAAACGUUACCAUUACGGCCUAUGGAAUAACAAUUGCGCAUAUUGCCCCAUCUUGUGAGCUAGGAUCCAGAGAUAUGUUAAGCUAAUUUCACCUUGUACACCACAGAAAAUUGUUAAAAUGAUGGUUAGUAGUUUUUUAUUUAUACCUAGUUAUCAUAAAUGAUUUCAGAUAAAUAUUAUUGAUAAAGAACAGCAAAAAUUCAAUAAAAUUUUCACUUUUAAAUGCAUUACUGGCACGGGGCUGAACACUUUUUUUUAGGCACAGUCAUAACUUUGUUUACCCCCGAGAGAUCCGAAAUGAAUUGUUUAUUCAAUUGAAAAAGGCAAGAAAAAACUUACAUGUAAUAUAAAUAAAUUGUAAGUAAACAUGACACAAUAUAGUCUUUGUUAUGCAAUUAUCACUCUGGUCUACAGGAAUAGCUUAUAAUCAAGGGAGAUAACACACUUCACACGAGUAAAGUGAGAUACAUCAUACAUGUGCUUUUAUCCAAUGAUUUGACCCUGGUCAGUAGAUAUCAUAUGCAAAUAAACAGAAAAAAAACCAUGUACAUGUAUUAAGAAAAUCACGAAUUACUAUUGUUAAUGCACACGAGCAAAACACAAGAUAUUGUCAUUUCUCAGUGAAAAAGGGGGAGGGUCAAACCUUCUUGAACACAAUAUUGCUAUUCAACUACAUGUAUUAAGCUAGUUAGCUACUACUCAUUGCUUCUAAUAUAAACAGUUUAAAUGAAGGUGGCUAAGCCACAAGGGAGAAGCAUUUUUCUUUCUUUGUGAUAACAUUUUCAAGAAUUAGAUUUUUCUCUCUCAAUAAUACUUAUGUAUUUAAAUUAAAUGAUAACACAGUUUGAGUUAAAUUUUUUUGUCUUAUUUCAGUUCCAGACAUAUCAUUACUUUUAAAUAUGAGAUGACAAACUAAAGGUUUUAAAAAGUCCUGAAUAACUGAAAUGGACAAAAAUACACAGAUUUAUUCAGAAUGUCAUACCGAUGAAGAUCACCUAAAAAUAUUUGGAAAAAUCAGAACUAUGGAUUUCAAUAUGGGACAAUACCCCUAAUGCGCCUUGAAAUGAGGAACACAAAAGUCACGUGUAAACAAAAAAUCUCUGUGUAGUGAUAUUUGACACAUUUCUAUGAUAAACAAAUAACUGAGCUGAACCAUUAGUGUUAAUUUAGAAAAUAAGGGAACACAGAAUAAAUGUGUAAAAACCAUGGAGCUAUGAAAUGUGUUCAAAGUAUUAAAAUUUCAAAGAACUUAUUGUGUUAAAAUUGGGAUUUUUUACCAUGAGGAGCGACAUCGCAAAAGGAUACUCGGGGUUUGCUAAAUUACGGAAAAAUGAAUCACACUUCGUAC